UACGUAGGGAGCAAGCGUUGUCCGGAAUCAUUGGGCGUAAAGCGCGCGUAGGUGGCCCCAUAAGUCCGCUGUGAAAGUCAAAGGCUCAACCUUUGAAAGCCGAUGGAUACUGCGGAGCUAGAGUACGGAAGAGGCGAGUGGAAUCCUGGUGUAGCGGUGGAAUGCGCAGGAUAGUCAAGGAGGAACACCAAUAGCGAAGGCAGCUCGCUGGGACGUUACUGACACUGAGGCGCGAAAGCGUGGGGAGCGAACAGGAUUAGACUACCCCGUGU
rnacentral:rRNA from 1 species